GGGCAAAGGGUUGUGGGGUCCUUCUCUGUUGAAUGGAUCACUUUAAACACUAGCAGGUUGCAUUUUAAAGUUGAUCUGUGGGUGAAGGGGAGUGGAGGAUUGUGGUAGUUGAACAGGCUUUGCUACAGGUAAAAGGAAAGUACUGCACAUGGAGGCAUUUUCUCCCUGAAUUUUCUUUACCCAUUUUUGUUUAAAAAAAAAAAAAAAUUCAAUUCCGGUUCCCAUCUGCAAUGCACUUGGCCAGGCUCUUGAUCCCUCUUGAUAGGCAUGUUUUGAUCCUGGCUCGCACAAAGCCCCCUCGGCCACCUCUCUAGUUUAAGGAGAAGCAGCUGCUGGCUUGUUCUCUUAUAAGCAGUCUGUGUGCCGUGCAGCUGGGGGGCUUCCUUGGGGGCCCACCUCGGGGCCCCUCCCCAGCCGCCUGUAGAAGGGACUGUCUCUGGCUGGAGGAAGACAAAAGUGCCCCAUCCCCUUCAUGCCCAGUCUCACUACUCCCUCAUUUUCAUCCCGUGUCUCCAGGCUGGUCUGCACCACAAUUGCGCUGGAACCCUCGGGGAAAUUCAGAGAGCACCUGCUCCUUGAAAACUUCCCUGCCGUUUUAGGUGGUCUGCAAGUUUCCCUUCCCUUCUGCUGCCCCAGCCAAUAUAGAAAGAAUAUUCACAUUUAAGGGAGGGAGCCAGAAACAUUUCUUUCCUCCUUUUUUUUUUUCUCCCAGCUGGCAUGGGCUUUGGUGCACUUUAUAGAUUCAUUGCCUUCAAAAUGUAAUUUUAGAAAUGUCAGGUUGAUUUUGAGCUGUGUGAGAGUGAGAAAAGCAUCCGUCAGCUUCAGAAUUAGAAAGGCACCAACUUAGAAUUUUUGUCGGAGGCUUAUGCCCAAGGAAACGUGGUCUGCUCAGAGUUGGCAGCCCCGAGAGCCCUGGGUUGCCAGUGGGCAUGUAGAGGGGUCUCCCCGUCAUGCCGUGGCCAGUGUUACGUGGGGUGUGGCGCCAGGGCCGAGGCCCCCGAGGUGCCAUGGGAGGCUGCCUAGCCAUUUGGGUCAAGAUGCCUUCUGCCCAUGCCUCAGCUCCAGGAGUCAGUUAACUGAGCUCCAUGCUUCCCUCUCUCAGACGCCACUGCCCAGAGACCCCUCCCUCGGGGCCGACCCUGGCAAUCGCUCCGGGUUUAACUAUUGGCACUAUUGAUUUUGCCAGUAUACCAAAGUGCAUCUGUCUUUGUGAUUAGUGUCCUCCAGACAGGCCAUGGCAGUCAGUCCUUUGAUUCAAACCAUCUCUAGUCCUCUGACUGGCACCAUGCACAGUGCAGUGAUGCUUUGUUGGAAAAUAGACUUCAACUUGGAGCCAACUUCAGUGAUUGGCAGUGGCUGCCAAGAAUUCUGCACAGAGAAGAAUCCUGAUAAAUGAGUGAUGUUUGUGCUGGGAUUAGGGCAGGGAGUGGUGGUAAUCAUGCUGUGUGUUUCCCAACACCGCAUUAGACCUUGUCUUUCGUGGGGCUUUUAGAGUUUACUAUUACUACUACAAGUUACAACUACUCUCCUCCUUCUCCUCGUCCUCCUCCUUUUUAAAUAAAUAACUAGGAUUCCGGAACCCUGAGAGAGGGUUCUCAAAAAGUCUCAAAAAGUGCCUAAGUGUUACAACCUAAUUCAACUUAAAUUCAUUUAAACAACAACAGAAAAUGAGGGUGGAUUUAUUUGCUCAGUUAACUAAAAGGUCUGGGUGUAUGCUUCAGGCAUAGGGGCUCAGGUGGGGGUCUCAGCAAUUUCCCCCUCUUCAGCUCCCACCUUUGAUUACCUCUGUGUUGCUUCAUUCUAACAGACUUCUCAUAAGGAGGCAGAAUGGCCACCAUGGUAUCUCCAGCCAAAGUCUUGGAGUUGAGCCUGCCUUGAAUCCUGUGUCCAGUCUUCAGUCAGCCACUGGAAUCAAGGAGCUGCCAUCCUGGGUGAGCUGUGACUUGGACUCCAGCUGGAAAGGAAGAAGCUAGCAGGGAGAGAACAAAUCCUGACAACACACGACCCCGAGCUCUUGCUACCUGCAUUCUGCCGCCCAUCUGUUACCUGCCCUCAGAACCAGCCCCAGGGGAACCCUCGCUGCUUUAUCUUGGGCUUCAAGGCAAGCCUGGGGUGAGAGAAGCCCAGAACCAGACAGGCUGGUUUUUCUGCCCUAUAAACCAGGCCCGUGGUUAAAGACAAAGCACCUGGAAAAGACAGGAGUGGACCCAGGCUGGAGCCUGAAGUGUCCUGUCCUUCUGGCCUUGCCUUCCGGGUGUGGGCAGGUGCUCAUAGCUGGGAGAGCAGUACAAAGACUUGGAACUUUAGUCAUCCAGCUUCUUACCUUGUGAUGGAAAGCAUAUAAAUGACAUGUCCAGAGGAAACCGGCUUGGAAGUCUGAUCCAGUCAGAGUCCCUCUAGUGCCAGAGAUGCAGGUCAGGAAUUCAGUGAGCACUGGAUAUACUGCCAUCACCCUGAUCUGAGUCCAUCUCUGUCAAGGUCCUGCAGGAGCUGCUGCUGCUGGGAUGGCUGUUGGACGGAGGCCUCCAGGGCGCCCACCGAGCUGGUGUCAUCAGAAAGAGACGUAAAGGAAACCCGGGAGGAGAGCUGCUCGACGGUCAGGGUGGCCAGGGCCGAGCUCUGGCCUGAGUUAGGAGAGUUCUUGAGCAUCAGGUCGGAGGCAGGAACUAAGCCAUCAACUCCUGCAAUCCUGCAAGACCCGUCUCUGUCCCCUUCCAGGUCGCAAGAGUACAGCGGCCUCCCCCAGGCACCGCACUGGCACAAAGGGAUGAGUGGAUGCAAAACAUCAUUAACCUGGCUAGAGUCUGAGUUUGCUGCUCUCUAUUUGAGCAAGGCUAGACCGAAAAGAUCGGUCCACAAUCAAGCGGCGAGAACGAGGCCUUGAGCUCGGUGUAAUACAGCCUGACCCCACUUUCCCAUCCAAGCAGCAAGAAGGCCCAUAGAGGCCACACAGGACAAAGGAGAGGUGACGUGUGAUGCCUCCGUGGAGCUUCCUCUUGGUGACGGCACAACUGGCCUGAAGCCGUGGGCUCAGUGGCUGUGACAAGCCUUUUUGGACUGUUGGCGGGGGUGUGACCAUGUCAGUGGUCGGGGACUCUCCCCAUCAGCACGUCAGAAGAGUCAUCUUGGCCACAGCUGCAGUCUUCGGGGCUCUACUUCUUUACUACGUCACUAGGCCGACCAUAGGAUUUCUCUGCUGACUCCAGUAACGGCUUCAAGGGCCUCUCCCAGAACUGAAAGCUAGAUGUGAGUUGGGCAAUCUGUAAAACGGAUUAUCUUCCUAUUAACAUCUACACUACAUUAGUGUUUCUUCUUAAAUGUGUUUCUAAUUCCAGAGGUUUAUAUUUUGAGAGUUUUACCCACUUAAACAUUCUUGUUCUUUUUUGGGGGUGGAGGGGGCUGAUUAAUGUUAAAAAAUAAAUAAACAUACUGCUAUCCUAGAAAGAUAGUAUUCAAUACUA